AGUGAACGCUGGCGGUAGGCCUAACACAUGCAAGUCGAACGGCAGCACAGUAAGAGCUUGCUCUUACGGGUGGCGAGUGGCGGACGGGUGAGGAAUACAUCGGAAUCUACUUUUUCGUGGGGGAUAACGUAGGGAAACUUACGCUAAUACCGCAUACGACCUACGGGUGAAAGCAGGGGAUCUUCGGACCUUGCGCGAUUGAUGAGCCGAUGUCGGAUUAGCUAGUUGGCGGGGUAAAGGCCCACCAAGGCGACGAUCCGUAGCUGGUCUGAGAGGAUGAUCAGCCACACUGGAACUGAGACACGGUCCAGACUCCUACGGGAGGCAGCAGUGGGGAAUAUUGGACAAUGGGCGCAAGCCUGAUCCAGCCAUACCGCGUGGGUGAAGAAGGCCUUCGGGUUGUAAAGCCCUUUUGUUGGGAAAGAAAAGCAGCAGGUUAAUACCCCGCUGUUCUGACGGUACCCAAAGAAUAAGCACCGGCUAACUUCGUG
rnacentral:rRNA from 1 species